GCUCAGAGCAAAGGUUUAGAAGUGUGACACGGCGUGAGGGAAUUUCUCAGGCUCCUCUCAGCAUGUUGAGGAAAUAUGAUCUUCAAGAGUCAGGAGGCAUCCUGUUAAUGGUGAACUUGAUUGUCCCCAUCACCUGUCCAGCAUCCUGUGGGCCAGCGCCCGGUGGUUGGGUGUGGAGAAAUGGCACUCUCAGCUUCACCUGGAGAGGCAUCUAUGAUCUUGAAAACAUGAGUGUGACAACCGUGACACCUGUGGGGAAGAAGGCGCAGGACCAAGAGCAGAGGACAGGAGGAUGUUGACUGUGGGAGAGAUGAGGAGCAAAGC
rnacentral:lncRNA from 1 species